rnacentral:pre_miRNA from 1 species
CAUAAUCAACGAAAGUUUCAACCUGCCGCGAAGGUCUAUGAGUGGUCUGCUGCUCCUCUUCGUGGAGC